UAGGGAAUCUUCGGCAAUGGACGGAAGUCUGACCGAGCAACGCCGCGUGAGUGAAGAAGGUUUUCGGAUCGUAAAGCUCUGUUGUAAGAGAAGAACGAGUGUGAGAGUGGAAAGUUCACACUGUGACGGUAACUUACCAGAAAGGGACGGCUAACUACGUGCCAGCAGCCGCGGUAAUACGUAGGUCCCGAGCGUUAUCCGGAUUUAUUGGGCGUAAAGCGAGCGCAGGCGGUUAGAUAAGUCUGAAGUUAAAGGCUGUGGCUUAACCAUAGUACGCUUUGGAAACUGUUUAACUUGAGUGCAGAAGGGGAGAAUGGAAUUCCAUGUGUAGCGGUGAAAUGCGUAGAUAUAUGGAGGAACACCGGUGGCGAAAGCGGCUCUCUGGUCUGUAACUGACGCUGAGGCUCGAAAGCGUGGGGAGCAAACAGGAUUAGAUACCCUGGUAGUCCACGCCGUAAACGAUGAGUGCUAGGUGUUGGGUCCUUUCCGGGACUCAGUGUCGCAGCUAACGCAUUAAGCACUCCGCCUGGGGAGUACGANGCGCAAGGUUG
rnacentral:rRNA from 1 species